AAUGGCCUACGGGGAGCAGCAGUGAGGAAUAUUGGUCAAUGGGCGUAAGCCUGAACCAGCCAAGUCGCGUGAGGGAUGAAGGUUCUAUGGAUCGUAAACCUCUUUUAUAAGGGAAUAAAGUGUGGGACGUGUCCUAUUUUGUAUGUACCUUAUGAAUAAGGAUCGGCUAACUCCGUGCCAGCAGCCGCGGUAAUACGGAGGAUCCGAGCGUUAUCCGGAUUUAUUGGGUUUAGAGGGUGCGUAGGCGGCCUUUUAAGUCAGCGGUGAAAGUCUGUGGCUCAACCAUAGAAUUGCCGUUGAAACUG
rnacentral:rRNA from 1 species